rnacentral:lncRNA from 1 species
ACCUCCAAAACUUUACAAUAAAAAUAAAAACAACUUUUCGCAUUUGAUGUCGUCGAUAAACAUCAAUAGAUAUAGGAAGAUGUGGUGUGAGUGCCAAUGAGACAACUCUCCAUCCAAAUAACAAUUUAUAAAAGUAAACCAUUAUAGGUCAAUGUACGGCCUUCAACACGGAGCCUUGGCUCACACCGAACAAAAAGCUAUAAAGGGUCCGAAAAUUACUAGUGUAAAACCAUUCAAACGGG